CCUACGGGAGGCUGCAGUGGGGAAUAUUGGACAAUGGGGGCAACCCUGAUCCAGCCAUGCCGCGUGUGUGAAGAAGGCCCUCGGGUUGUAAAGCACUUUCAGUGAGGAAGAACGCCUGGUGGUUAAUACCCAUCAGGAAAGACAUUACUCACAGAAGAAGCACCGGCUAACUCCGUGCCAGCAGCCGCGGUAAUACGGAGGGUGCGAGCGUUAAUCGGAAUUACUGGGCGUAAAGCGCGCGUAGGUGGCUUGAUAAGCCGGUUGUGAAAGCCCCGGGCUCAACCUGGGAACGGCAUCCGGGGCUGUCAAGCGAGAGGGCAGGAGCGGGAGGUAGACUUCCCGGGGUGGCGGGGAAAUCUGUAGAGACCGGGAGCGAUAGCAGUGGAGAAGGCGGCCUUCUAGAGUGACACGGACACUGGGGUGCGUAAGCGUGGGUAGCACCCAGGAUGAGAGACCCUAGUGGGC
rnacentral:rRNA from 1 species